rnacentral:lncRNA from 1 species
UUUUUUUUUCUCUGCCGUUCGUUAGGGUUUCUCCCUGGGCGGGCUCCGGGCGCCGCCCUCACCGCCGCUCCCGCCGGCCCACGGCGGGGACGCCGGGGCGCUGGGGCUCGUCCGCGGGUACCUGACGGCGUCGCUGGGGAGCCCUGCCGCGGUCAAGACCUCGGAGUGGAGGUACCUCCUCGCCAGCCCGCAGUUCCGCAGGCUCUUCUGCAGCGGCUCUAAGAAGAGUGAGUGCCGUCGCGCCUUGUUUUUGGGUCAGUCUGGGUCUCGUGUCUCCCGGCGCUGCUGAAAUAUGCAUCCUUUUGUGCUUUCAGAUUACGAGAAUUACUACCCCAAGGGGAAGAAGGAGGCGCCCAAAGGGGAUGGGAGCAACAAGGAUUCCAAGCGUAAGUCACCGCCUUUCUCAUCCGUGUAUCUUGUUCGUGUAGAGAAGUUUGUGUUGAGUCCAGCGAAUUAUUCACUUACGACACACUAUUAUCAACAAAGUGGGCUUACUGAAUGUGUUUGGCCAACAAGAUGGGUUAACUAUGUACGCAAUGAUCUCCUUGCCCUAUGAGUGCUAGGCAGUUUUGAUGUAACAAUGGAAUGAUACUCCCUCUGUACCAAAUUAGUUAUCUUAAAUUUGUCUAGAUACGGAUGUAUGUAGACACAUUUUAGUGUUAGGUACAUCCGUAUCUAGACAAAUCUAAGACAAGUAAUUUGGGACGAAGGUAAUAGGAUAUAACUGGAUAAUGGAUUGGUCACAACCAUAUCCGAUGGUAGUUUAACUUGUCAGUUUCAAGUUCUGCCAAUUUCAAGUGUGAUGAAAUGUUCCAAGCUAAAAAAAACAUCAAGUGUGAUGAAAUUGCAAUUCUCUGAUAUGCAGAGGAAUCCGAUACAGAUGGUCAAUGGAAUUUCCAGGAUGGUACUUUCAAGCAGCUGCAGAACUUCUUGGGACCUCUAUUGCUUUUAGGCCUCAUGUUCUCAUCCUUGUCUUCAAGCUCAUCAGACCAGAAGGAGGUAGUUUUCAUCCCCUUUCAGCCAAAUUGGCCAUCAAGUGUUUUUAACCGUUCACUAAUAUGUUUACUCUGACAAAAAGAAUUCUGCGAGAUUUUGUUCUGUUGUCAAAUAUAUUUGCUUUUUUGUCGAAUCCCUAAAUCAUUACCAUGUGUCGAGAACCCCAGGAAAAUAGAAAACUUUUUUGCUACCAUAAAAGGACUAUACAAGCUGUUUGUACCUGCCACCUCCAAUCAAAUUUGGAGAUUCUUUUAGCAUUAUUAACCAAUAAUUGUGACAAGCAGCAGCAGAUAGCAGGACCGUAUUUCUCACCAUGUGGUCUUCUCAUGGGUUUGAUAAAUGGCAGAGAAAAUACCCACCCUUUCUCUGUAGAUGUUUAAGUAAUGUGUGCCUACACGAGAUAACAGGUAGCACACUGUGAUCAAUAUGCAAUAUGUGAGGCGGCAUGCUUGCAAAAAGAUGUCCAUAGAGAUGAUAUACUAUUUUGUAGAGUAGAUGAUGUUUAAUUCUAUAAGUUGUUCUCUCUAAUUAAUUCUUGCUUGUACACAUGUUUACCUGGUGUGGCGAUAUGUUAACGUGCACCUUAUAUUUGUACUCCCUCCGUCCGAAAAUACUUGUCAUCAAAAUGGAUAAAAAGAGAUGUAUCUAGAACUAAAAUACGUCUAGAUACAUCCCCUUUUAUCCAUUUUGAUGACAAGUAUUUCCGGACGGAGGGAGUAGUUUUCUAUUCUUACCUUCGAAUGCAAAUGCCAGUUUCAGAACUAUUAGUUUUUGUUUUUAUUAAUUAUAAUUUUGGCAUUCAUUUUUUAUUUUUAUAUUUGUUCACUUUGAAUGUAUGGACGUUGCAUAAUCUUUAGUUUAUUGGUUAUGAAAAGAUCUUGUACUUGUAAUUUCUGCAGAUAAGCUUCCAAGAAUUCAAGAACAAGUUACUGGAACCUGGCCUGGUUGAUCGUAUUGUUGUUUCAAAUAAAUCAGUGGCAAAGAUCUAUGUCAGGACUACACCACAGACGAACGGCCAAAGCCAAAAUACUGAUACACAGAUUACGACCGUUGAUGUUCCAGGCAGACAGGCUCCCAGCAAAUACAAGUAUUUCUUCAAUAUUGGAAGUGUUGAGUCGUUUGAAGAAAAGUUAGAGGAAGCCCAGGAAAAUCUGGGUAUAGAUUCACAUGAUUAUGUUCCAGUAACUUAUGUUGCUGAAGUAAAUUGGUUCCAAGAAGUGAUGAGAUUUGCCCCAACAGCGUUCCUUGUUGGACUACUAUAUUUUAUGGGGAAAAGGAUGCAGAGUGGAUUUAAUAUUGGAGGUGGUCCUGGGAAGGGUAGCCGUGGUAUCUUUAACAUUGGGAAAGCAACAGUAACAAAGAUGGACAAAAAUUCUAAAAAUAAGGUUAGUUCUUUCUUGUUCUGUAUCAUUCUCUUAAUGUUCCUUUUAUACUCCAUUGAAGAGGCAACUAAAAUAUUUAGGUCUACUGAAAAGUGAUUCUGGAGCUCCAACAGUCCCCAUUGUUUUGAUUUGCAGUAGCAUAGCUUUUGGUUUACACGAUAUUGGCUGAAUCUCCCUGACAGCUCCCUCUCUUUGGUUUGUGCAGGUGUUUUUUAAGGAUGUAGCAGGCUGUGAUGAAGCUAAACAAGAAAUAAUGGAGUUUGUGCAUUUCCUUAAAAAUCCCAAGAAGUAUGAAGAGUUGGGAGCUAAGAUACCCAAAGGUGCUCUGCUUGUAGGUCCUCCUGGAACUGGAAAGACUCUACUUGCUAAAGCUACAGCAGGAGAAUCUGGUGUGCCCUUUAUGUCCAUUUCUGGUUCCGAUUUCAUGGAAAUGUUUGUAGGUGUUGGACCAUCCAGGGUAAGAAACUUAUUCCAAGAAGCUCGGCAGUGUGCACCCAGUAUUGUAUUUAUUGAUGAGAUCGAUGCAAUCGGUCGCGCGAGAGGCCGUGGAGGUUUUUCUGGUUCAAAUGAUGAGCGAGAAAGUACUUUGAACCAGCUGCUUGUAGAGAUGGAUGGAUUCGGUACAACUGCUGGUGUUGUUGUUCUUGCUGGUACAAAUAGACCUGACAUCCUUGACAAGGCACUGCUAAGGCCUGGAAGAUUUGAUCGCCAGAUAACAAUUGACAAACCAGAUAUAAAGGGCCGUGAUCAGAUAUUCCGCAUAUAUCUUACAAAACUUAAACUGGACAAUGACCCAACAUAUUUUUCACAAAGGCUAGCUGCUUUGACACCUGGGUUUGCUGGAGCUGACAUUGCGAAUGUUUGUAAUGAAGCUGCUUUGAUUGCCGCAAGAACCGAUGAAACUCAGAUUACAAUGCAGCAUUUUGAGUCUGCAAUUGAUAGGAUUAUUGGUGGUUUAGAGAAGAAAAACAAGGUAACAUGAUAGAAUGCUAUUUUAAUCAUUUGUGAGUAGAGGGGCAACACUUCAUGUUCCAUUGCGACCAAUGAAACCAAAGUUGUAGGGUAAAUUUUGCCAAUUUCUUUCUCGUAAUAGUAUUACUGUUGCAAACGGAUACGCAACCUAAGAAAGUUGAUACAUGCCUGAUUUACACACUUUCUUGUGGAGAAAAUUCACACAUUACUCUGUCACUUUGUUUAUGAUGCUUUCAUGUGAGCAAAUAGGAUGUUCUUUUUAUAGUUUAUAUCGACUGGGCACAAUGGCAAUGAUGUUCUUGGUGGGCCAAGAACAUGGAAUAAAAAGUGUGGCUCGGUUUCUAGCAGACCUCUGCUAAGUGCAAUGGAAAUACGAGCGGUCAUCUUUUGCGUGGGUACUCGUAAGCAAAUGUUUUAGAUGUUGAAUUAAUAAAUAAACAAAGGCAAGAGCGGCACGAACCUACAGUUCUACAUGUUGUAGCUCGAUUUCUAGCAGAAGUCAACUAAGUGCUCUGGAAAUACGAUAAACCUAAGUAAAUGUUUGAGGGGUUGAAUUAAUUAAAUAAACGAGGGCAAGAGAGGGCACAAACCUACAGUUCUACAUGCACUGGCAUGCCUCAUGCUCCAUUUUGCGACAAAGUUGGAUCACAAAUUUAUUAAUUGGAGGAUUGUCUGCAGUACACUUUACAUGGGAGUGCCCUAGCUAUUACAUUUUUUUUGUUUAUUACACAAUGCAACUUGUUUUGUAUAGAAACUUGUUAUAUCUUAUAUUUCCCUUGAUGUUGAUUCUGGCCUCUACAUGUCACUUGAUUGCAGGUAAUUAGCAAACUGGAGCGCCGUACUGUUGCUUACCAUGAAGCUGGGCAUGCUGUUGCCGGAUGGUUUUUAGAACAUGCAGAGCCUCUUCUGAAAGUGACAAUUGUUCCCCGUGGAACAGCUGCUUUAGGCUUUGCACAGUAUGUACCAAAUGAGAAUCUUUUGAUGACAAAGGAGCAGCUCUUUGAUAUGACAUGCAUGACGUUAGGUGGCCGAGCUGCAGAGGAGGUAUGCCCUUCCCUAUGUAUUUUUAGUGAUGAAGAUUUUUGUUAAAUAUCUUAGAUUCGUUUGCAACCCUCGAAAUCUGUACUGUUUAGCUCCAUUGGUGGAUUGUCUCCAUCACUAAAGCAGCUGUUCAAGUGAAUAUGUGGGUUUUGAGUAGAAUGAAUGCAUGGUCAUUUCUGAGUGCUGCAUCUGACAAGAUCAGAAGACAGUAAUUCUACUCCAUGCAUCCAUUCAUGCAUGGAGUAGUUGUUAGGUUAAUCAUUCACCACUUCCAUUAUGGUGAUCUGUGAAUAUGCACAAUGUUACCACAAUUUGACGGGCCUAGGUAAAUCAAAAUAUUUUACUGUUAUCCGUUUCGAAAAAAAAUACUUUACUAUUAUCACGAGUUUCUCGACAUACACCACUGCAUGGUAUGUUGACAUUUAUUCUACAUGCAGUCCAGGCAUCUUUUCUUUUUAAAUAUGGAUAUGCAACCUAAGGUUACUGCAUAAAAUACAUGUUUAUACGCCAUAAUUAAUAUCCCCUGUAUCAAGCCAACGGCUCGUGUAGUGUUGUAUUUUUGCUCACUAUACAUGGCAUGGAUGGCUGUGAAAUUAUUCACAAUAUUGCCGAUGAAAGUGCACUAAUGGAAAGGCUUUGUUUGUGUUCUUUUAUUCAGGUUUUGAUUGGAAGAAUCUCGACUGGUGCCCAGAAUGAUCUGGAGAAAGUUACAAAGAUGACAUAUGCGCAAGUUGCUGUGUAUGGUUUCAGCGAUAAGGUUGGUCUUCUAUCCUUCCCCCAGCGAGGGGAUGGCUUUGAAAUGAACAAGCCUUACAGCAACCAAACCGCAUCCAUCAUCGAUACUGAGGUGAGGGAAUGGGUCGCCAAGGCCUACAAAAGGACAGUUGAACUGUUGACGGAGAAGAAGGAACAAGUGGCUCUCAUCGCUGAGUUGCUGCUGGAGAAGGAGGUCCUCCACCAGGACGAUCUGACCAGGGUACUAGGAGACCGCCCCUUCAAGGCAGCCGAGCUAACAAACUACGACCUCUUCAAGCAGGGGUUCCAGGACGAAGAUGGCAAGACCACAGAGCCCGCCAAGAACGCCGAGGUGCCCGACGACGACGGGCCGGCCGCCGCGCUUCCCGACGUCGUCGUGCCGACGUAGAGAUCCAGGGCGAACAUCUACCCCGCUGUACAUCGCGUGCUCUCAUCCGAUAGAUUCUGGUUUUGCUGUUGCAGCAUAAGAAGAAAAAACUGUAUAAAUCAGCGCCCUCGUCUAAAAAUCAGCCAUGCCGGUUUUAUCUAUUAGCUGGAAGGGAUGCAGUAGGCUUUCCGCAGCUGGCGUGGCCCUGUUGUUCUUCAGCACGAUGAAGCUGCUGGUCGAGGUUCAUGCUCUGAGCUUGUAUUGGCGUCGCCAGACGUUUUUGACGGAUCCUGUAUUUCUCAUGAUUUUACUAUAAAGAAGAUUUCGUCGACCUGAGUUAGAACCUUCUUAUCUUCAGCGAAAGGUACAAAGCACGGACUAUAUUUUCUUGAGAUGAUGUGUUUGGUAUCUACAGUAGCUAAGUACUUUGGUCGACAGUAGUCAGCUCGUACUACAGUGGAACCUAUGUGUAGUUCAACGCAGCGUAAUCAACUAAUCGUAGCCUUUAGACAUAACCGUGGCAUCCUGUCAAUCUAGCUUUGCUGGACACCACAUUAUCACAUGUAGCCAAGUAGGGGUUGUACGCGUUCUCCAGUAAAAGAGUUGUCGAGUGGGUGCAUUGCUGCUACCAAACAACGACCUAAUAAUAAUAGUGGACGGACGCUAUCUGAAUCUGAUUAGAUCACAUCUAUUGUACAUCUAUUAAUAAUAGUGGACGGACGCUAUCUGAAUCUGAUUAGAUUGCAUAUACUCCCUCCGUUCCUAAAUAAUUGUCUUUUUAGAGAUUUCAACAAGUGAUUACAUACGGAGCAAAAUGAGUGAAUCUACACUCUAAAGCAUGUUUACAUACAUCCGUAUGUUAUAGUCCAUUUAAGAUGGCUAGAAAGACAAUUAUUUGGGAACGGAGGGAGUAUUGUACAUCUAUUCCAUGCACGUACACGCGCUGAAAAGCGGCUUGGGAAAAAAGGGAAGGCAAAAGGGAAGAAGAUGCAUGGCGCGGCGAGCAAGCAAAACCGGGUCCCCUUCCUCCCUCCCAGUCUCCCACGGGAGGAGGCUUGGAAGAAGAGGAAAAGACACGAGCGUGACUGUGUGAUGUGAGUACCUGCUAACCAUCACGCACACCCGGCACACGGAGGAGGACCCUAUCUAUCUACCUAGCCCGCGCCCGCCUCCGUGGCCAUGUAAUUCAGCUGGACCCAGUAUGUUGUCAGUACUAGUGCUUAUAAAGGAUCUAAUUAUGUAUGGCAGUUUCAGUUUAGUGCUUAGGUCCAAGAGAAACAUCUGAUGGAACUUUUGCAGGAAAUAGAAGUUUCCUAAGAAGAAAUGAAUUAGUGACAUUGGUAUUACCAUGCAAUUGGUGUUAUCAAUUAAGAAGAAAGAAAAGGAAAAGGAAUAAAACAAAUAACGAAAAAAAUUGCACACAAUUUACACAGAAAUGACACAUUUUUAUAUUAUGCAAGAAUAAACAUAUAGUAGUGGAUUUUUCGCAAAAAAGAAGUUUGUGAGAAGAAAUAAAUUAGGGACAUUGAUAUUGCCCUUAAAGAAGAAAUGAAGUGCAAAAAACUAAAACAAAUAAAAAUAAUGGCAUUGGUAAUAUUUCGGAAGAAUCAAAACCAUACUAACGAGGUUUUAUAAGGUAGAAUAAAUUAGUGACAUAGGUACUACCUUUCAUAAGAAACAAAAUGAAAAACUAAUUGAAAUAAUCAAGUUUUAAAAGGAAGGCUAAAUUAGUGGCAUUGGUAUUACACUUUAAUUAGAAUGAAAAAUAAAUUUAAAACUAAACAAAAUAACACCAAAAUUUAAACAUGAAUUGCGCUUUGCUAUAAUAUGCAAGAAUAAACAUAUAAUAGUGUAACAUUUGCAAAAGUAGAAUUUUUUCUAAAGAAUGGAUGAAUUAAGCAUUGGUAUUUGAUCCAUGGCGUCCCUACUUCUCCAAUCAAAAUAAUAAUAUUUUCUAAGAACUAAAGAAUUACUGGGAAUGGAAUUACCAUUAAGAAAAAAUAAAACAAUGACAAAACUACAGACAAUUUAUGCAGAAAUAACACUUCUAUAAUAUGAAAGACUAAGCACAUUAUUGUGAAAAUUUCACAAAAAAUGAAGUCGCCUAAGAAGGAAUUAACUAGUGGCAUUAGUAUUAACCUUCAAUAGAAAAAAAUGACAAUAAAACUAAAACUAAAUGAAAAUAAUGAAGUUUUUAAGGAAGAAUGAGCUAAUGGCAUCGGUAUUACAAUUAUGAAGAAAGAAAAGAAAAGAAAAAAUAACAGAAAUAAUGACAAAAUUUGCACAUAGUUUGCACCUAAAUUGCGCUUUUUAAUAAUAUCCAAGAAUAAGCAUAUAAUAGUGAAAUUUUGCAAAAAAAAAAGGAUUCCUAAGUAGGAAUGAAUUAGUGGUAUUUGUCUCACCCUUCAAGAAGAAAUAAAAUAAAUCUAAAUAUUGCAUAUUAUUUAUGUGUGUAUGUUUACAUUCGCCCAACAUCCCAAAAAUACCCAAAAAAAAUCAACAAAAAACGAAAGACAAAAAACAAAAGCAAAAAUACAUAAAAACAGAAAAGCAUAAAAGCAUAAAAUAAACGGACUAGAAAGAGAGGAGGCUGGAAGUACAGUUAAUGGGCUUCGGCCCAGUAGCAAAUCGACUGACCCAAAUAUAGUGUCAGUUGAAAAACCCAGGCCCAACACAAAAACAGCACAGCCAGAAAAAAAACUCAGCACGAAUCUCAGAGCAAAAAUCAAUGGCCAAGAAAUUGACUGAUCCAAAUUUAAAAUUCAGGCAACUUGCAAGUAGCUAAAGUGUUUUUGCAAAGACAUGUUACUUCUAACGGCAAGAUGCAAAUGUUUCAAAGGGCCAUAUAAUAUAAAUGCUUCAGUGACUUGAUCAUGCCCAUUUAUUUCAGGCCCGACGCACCGUGCAGCCCUGGAGCAGUGUAUCAUCCCGUGCAUGGUAGCACCGGAUAUUUUCCCCUUUCUCGAGCCGAAUGAGUUGGAUAUACAUAAAAUAAAUAUAUUCCAGAAAGUUUUACUUAUCUUGAGCUGGAGGUACAAAACACAGAGGUACUAUUUUCUUUAGAUGAUGUGUGUGGCAUCUACUCCCUCGGUCCCAUAAUGUAAGACGUAUUUUAACAUUGGUUCCUCCCCUCAAAAAUGUAAGACGUAUUACAUUAGUAUCAAAAAACGUAUUACAUUAUGGGACUGAGGAGGGAGUAGCCAUGUACUUGGUCCGACUAGUCCUACAGGACACCCCUGUACUCGUCCCCACGUAUGUCCAUGACCCCACGCGCCUCCCGCCCGAGGACCAAUACAAGGAUGGGGAGGAUUCGUCCGGCCUGCCUGGCCUAUCCGGGGCCACCUCCGCCUUGGGGAUUGAGGAGUUUUCUCCUAUGGGCAGCAACAUGGUAGGGCCCGUGGUGGAUGCAUGCAUGGAUGUGACUACGUGCAUGGUCAGUCUAUCGCCAAUCUUGCCGCUGGACGUACCUGGUGAGGGCGUUGUGGGGUCUCGCGGGUUGGAUGUGCCGCACCGGGAGCAGCUGAACCAGUUUUGCGAGGAGAUAUGUCGCACGCUCACGCCCCUUCUCGCGUGACCGACAAGCCGUGCGCCAGCGGGGAACUUGAAGCGGUCACGAAGGAGGAGGACGCCAGUUUCUAACCCGAGGAGGAGUGCACGUCUGGCCAGGGGCGUGGGAAAAGGGUCUGCGGCGUCCAAGCAACAGAGAGUGUUGAUGAGAAGACUUUGCUUGGCGAACGAAUGCGAGGAGAUCACAGAUGAGACUCUACUCAUGUAUGCGGAACUCUUCUCCAAGCAGCUCACUAGCGAGCAGAUCGCCGCGAUCCUCGCCCUGUUUGGGUGGGACGUGUCCAUCUUGCCGAUGCAAGAGCAGGAGGAGCCGGUGGAGGCAGGGCAUUGACUGCCAACCUUGGUGGUACGUGGGCCUUUGUGAUGGCUAUACAACCAUACAAAAUGCUCGUGUGGAAUGUGCGGGGCUUGAACUCCCCGGCACGGUGGAACGCUAUUCUCCAAGUAGUGGCUAUGGCCAACCCGGCUGUCGUUUGCUUCCAGGAAACCAAAUUGGAGGUUGUAGCCCCAGAACUAGUUAGGCAUUGCCUCGGUAAUAGAAUGGAGAACUUCUUCUACCUUCCAGCGGUGGGCACACGGGGUGGCAUCUUGAUUGCAUUGGACGCCACCGUGGUGGCGAUGUCAAACCCACACCGAACGAACAACACACUCACGACACUAGUUAAGCCGAUCGAGGGGGGCGAAUGGUGGCUAACCGGUGUGUAUGGGCCUCAGGGAAGCGAGGCCAAGGUUGAAUUCAUGCGGGAGCUGGUGGAGAUACGUGACUUGCAUGCUGGCCCAUGGACGGUGGUAGGGGAUUUCAACCUCUUGGUUAACCCUGAGGACAAGAGCAAUGAUGUGGUAAACCACAGGAUGAUGGCAAGGUUUCGAACUAAGCUCAACCAACUGGAGCUGCGUGAGAUGUACUUGAAUGGGAGAAGGUACACAUGGUCCAACGAGAGGCAGCGACCCACGCUCGAGAAGAUUGACCACGUCUUUACAUCUAGCUGUUGGGAGGAUUUGCUGAUGGGUAACGUAGUAAUUUCAAAAAAUUUCCUAUGCACACGCAAGAUCAUGGUGAUGCACAACAACGAGAGGGGAGAGUGUGAUCUAUGUACCCUUGUAGACAGAUAGUGGAAGUGUUAGCACAACGCGGUUGAUGUAGUCGUACAUCUUCACGGCCCGACCAAUCAAGCACCGAAAAUACGGCACCUCCGAGUUUUAGCACACGUUCAGCUCGAUGAUGAUCCCCGGACUCCGAUCCAACAAAGUGUCGGGGAAGAGUUCCGUCAGAACGACGGCAUGGUGACGAUCUUGAUGUACUACCGUCACAGGGCUUCGCCUAAGCACCGCUACAAUAUUAUCGAGGAUUAUGGUGGAAGGGGGCACCGCACACGGCUAAGAAUAUGAUCACGUGGAUCAACUUGUGUGUCUAGGGGUGCCCCCUGCCCCCGUAUAUAAAGGAUCAAGGGGAGGAGGCCGGCCGGCCCCUAUGGCGCGCCAAGGAGGAGUCCUCCUCCUAGUAGGAGUAGGACUCCUACUAGGAGGGGGAAAGAAGUGGGAAGGGAGAAGGAAAGGGGGGCGCCGCCCCCCUCUCCUAGUCCAAUUCGUACCAGGGGGGAGGAGGCGCGCGGCCCACCUUUGGCUGCCCCCUCUCUCUCCACUAAGGUCCAUAUGGCCCAUUACUUCUCCCGGGGGGGUUCCGGUAACCCUCCGGCUCUCCGGUUUUCUCCGAAAUCACCCGGAACACUUCCGGUGUCCGAAUAUAGCCGUCCAAUAUAUCAAUCUUUAUGUCUCGACCAUUUCGAGACUCCUCGUCAUGUCCGUGAUCACAUCCGGGACUCCGAACUAACUUUGGUACAUCAAAACUCAUAAACUCAUAAUAUAACUGUCAUCGAAACCUUAAGCGUGCGGACCCUACGGGUUCGAGAACAAUGUAGACAUGACCGAGACAUGUCUCCGGUCAAUAACCAAUAGCGGAACCUGGAUGCUCAUAUUGGUUCCUACAUAUUCUAUGAAGAUCUUUUAUCGGUCAGACCGCAUAACAACAUACGUUGUUCCCUUUGUCAUCGGUAUGUUACUUGCCCGAGAUUCGAUCGUCGGUAUCUCAAUACCUAGUUUAAUCUCGUUACCGGCAAGUCUCUUUACUCGUUCCGUAAUACAUCAUCUCGCAACUAACUCAUUAGUUGCAAUGCUUGCAAGGCUUAAGUGAUGUGCAUUACCGAGAGGGCCCAGAGAUACCUCUCCGACAAUUGGAGUGACAAAUUCUAAUCUUGAAAUAUGCCAACCCAACAUGUACCUUUGGAGACACCUGUAGAGCACCUUUAUAAUCACCCAGUUACGUUGUGACGUUUGGUAGCACACAAAGUGUUCCUGCGGCAAACGGGAGUUGCAUAAUCUCAUAGUCAUAGGAACAUGUAUAAGUCAUGAAGAAAGCAAUAGCAACAUACUAAACGAUCGGGUGCUAAGCUAAUGGAAUGGGUCAUGUCAAUCAGAUCAUUCAACUAAUGAUGUGAUCCCGUUAAUCAAAUGACAACUCUUUGUCCAUGGUUAGGAAACAUAACCAUCUUUGAUUAACGAGCUAGUCAAGUAGAGGCAUACUAGUGACACUCUGUUUGUCUAUGUAUUCACACAUGUAUUAUGUUUCCGGUUAAUACAAUUCUAGCAUGAAUAAUAAACUUUUAUCAUGAUAUAAGGAAAUAAAUAAUAACUUUAUUAUUGCCUUUAGGGCAUAUUUCCUUCAGUCUCCCACUUGCACUAGAGUCAAUAAUCUAGAUCACAUCACCAUGUGAUUAACAUCGAUAGUUCACAUCAUCAUGUGAUUAACACCCAUAGUUCACAUCGCCAUGUGACCAACACCCAAAGGGUUUACUAGAUUCAGUAAUCUAGUUCACAUCGCUAUGUGAUUAACACCCAAAGAGUACUAAGGUGUGAUCAUGUUUUGCUUGUGAGAGAAUUUUAGUCAACGGGUCUGCCAUAUUCAGAUCCGUAUGUAUUUUGCAAAUAUCUAUGUCAACAAUGCUCUGCACGGAGCUACUCUAGCUAAUUGCUCCCACUUUCAAUAUGUAUCCAGAUUGAGACUUAAAGUUAUCUAGAUCAGUGUCAAAACUUGCAUCGAUGUAACUCUUUACGACGAACCUUUUGUCACCUCCAUAAUCGAGAAACAUAUCCUUAUUCCACUAAGGAUAAUUUUGACCGCUGUCCAAUGAUCUACUCCUAGAUCACUAUUGUACUCCCUUGCCAAAAUCAGUGUAGGGUAUACAAUAGAUCUGGUACACAGCAUGGCAUACUUUAUAGAACCUAUGGCUAAGGCAUAGGGAAUGACUUUCAUUCUCUUUCUAUCUUCUGCCGUGGUCGGGCUUUGAGUCUUACCCAAUUUCAUACCUUGUAACACAGGUAAGAACCCUUUCUAUGACUGUUCUAUUUUGAACUACUUCAAAAUCUUGUCAAGGUAUGUACUCAUUGAAAAAAACUUAUCAAGCGUCUUGAUCUAUCUCUAUAGAUCUUGAUGCUCAAUAUGUAAGCAGCUUUACCAAGGCCUUUCUUUGAAAACCUCCUUUCAAACACUCCUUUAUGCUUUGCAGAAUAAUUGUACAUUAUUUCUGAUCAACAAUAUGUCAUUCACAUAUACUUAUCAGAAAUGUUGUAGUGCUCCCACUCACUUUCUUGUAAAUACAGGCUUCACCGCAAGUCUGUAUAAAUCUAUAUGCUUUGAUCAUACUAUCAAAGCGUUUAUUCCAACUCCGAGAUGCUUGCACCAGUCCAUAGAUGGAUCGCUGGAGCUUGCUUAUUUUGUUAGCACCUUUAGGAUUGACAAAACCUUCUGGUUGCAUCAUAUACAACUCUUUCUUUAAGAAAUCCAUUAAGGAUUGCAGUUUUGUUAUCCAUUUGCUAGAUUUCAUAAAAUGCGACAAUUGCUAACAUGAUUUGGACAGACUUUUAAGCAUCGAUACGAGUGAGAAAAUCUCAUCGUAGUCAACACCUUGAACUUUGUCGAAAACCUUUUGCGAUAAUUCUAGCUUUGUAGAUAGUAACACUACUAUCAGCGUCCGUCUUCCUCUUGAAGAUCCAUUUAUUUUCUAUGGCUUGCCGAUCAUCGGGCAAGUCAACCAAAGUCCAUACUUUGUGCUCAUACAUGGAUCCCAUCUCAGAUUUCAUGGCCUCAAGCCAUUUUGCGGAAUCUGGGCUCACCAUCGCUUCUUCAUAGUUUGCAAGUUCAUCAUGGUCUAGUAACAUGACUUCCAGAACAGGAUUACCGUACCACUCUGGUGCGGAUCUCACUCUGGUUUACCUACGGGAUUCGGUAGUAACUUGAUCUGAAGUUACAUGAUCAUCAUCAUUAGCUUCCUCACUAAUUGGUGUAGUAGUCACAAGAACAGAUUUCUGUAAUGAACUACUUUCCAAUAAGGGAGAUGGUACAAUUACCUUAUCAAGUUUUCUACUUUCCUCCCACUCACUUCUUUCGAGAGAAACUCCUUCUCCAGAAAGUUUCCGAAUUUAGCAACAAAAGUCUUGCCUUCGGAUCUGUGAUAGAAGGUGUACCCAAUAGUCUCCUUUGGGUAUCCUAUGAAGACAUAUUUCUCCGAUUUGGGUUUGAGCUUAUCAGGAUGAAACUUUUUCAUAUAAGCAUCACAAUCCCAAACUUUAAGAAACGACAACUUUGGUUUCUUGCCAAACCACAGUUCAGAUUGUGUCGUCUCAACGGACUUAGAUGGUGCCCUUCUAAACGUGAAUGCAACUGUCUUUAAUGCAUAACCCCAAAACGAUAGUGGUAGAUCGGUAAGAGACAUCAUAGAUCGCACCAUAUCUAGUAAAGUAUGAUUACGACGUUCGGACACACCAUUACGCUGUGGUGUUCCGGGUGGCAUGAGUUGCGAAACUAUUUCGCAUUGUUUCAAAUGUACACCAAACUCGUAACUCAAAUAUUCUCCUCCAUGAUCAGAUCGUAGAAACUUUAUUUUCUUGUUACGAUGAUUUUCCACUUCACUCAAAUUCUUUGAACUUUUCAAAUGUUUCAGACUUGUGUUUCAUUAAGUAGAUAUACCCAUAUCUGCUUAAGUCAUCUGUGAAGGUGAGAAAAUAACGAUAUCCGCCACGAGCCUCAACAUUCAUCGGACCACAUACAUCUGUAUGUAUGAUUUCCAACAAAUCUAUUGCUCUCUCCAUAGUACUGGAGAACGGUGUUUUUGUCAUCUUACCCAUAAGGCACGGUUCGCAAGUACCAAGUGAUUCAUAAUCAAGUGGUUCGAAAAACCCAUCAGCAUGGAGUUUCUUCAUGCGCUUUACACCAAUAUGACCUAAACAGCAGUGCCACAAAUAAGUUGCACUAUCAUUAUUAACUUUGCAUCUUUUGGUUUCAAUAUUAUGAUUAUGUGUAUUACUACGAUCGAGAUCCAACGAACUAUUUUCAUUGGGUGUGUAACCAUAUAAGGUUUUAUUCAUGUAAACAGAACAACAAUUUAUUCUCUUACUUAAAUGAAUAACCGUAUUACAAUAAACAUGAUCAAAUCAUAUUCAUGCUCAACGCAAACACCAAAUAACACUUAUUUAGGUUCAACACUAAUCCCAAAAGUAUAGGAAAUGUGCGAUGAUGAUCAUAUCAAUAUUGGAACCACUUCCAACACACAUCGUCACUUCACCCUUAACUAGUCUCUAUUUAUUCUGCAACUCCCGUUUCGAGUUACUAAUCUUAGCAACUGAACUAGUAUCUAUUACUGAGGGGUUGCUAUAAACACUAGUAAAGUAUACAUCAAUAACAUGUAUAUCAAAUAUACUUAUGUUCACUUUGCCAUCCUUCUUAUCCGCCAAUCACUUGGGGUAGUUCUCCUUCCAGUGACCAGUCCCUUUGCAGUAGAAGCACUUAGUCUCAGGCUUAGGAUCAGACUUCGGCUUCUUCACUUGAGCAGCAACUUGCUUGCCGUUCUUCUUGAAGUCCCCCUUCUUUCCUUUGCCCUUUUCUUGAAACUAGUGGUCUUGUCAACCAUCAACACUUGAUGUUUUUCUUGAUUUCUACCUUCGUUGAUUUCAGCAUCACGAAGAGCUUGGGAGUUGUUUCCGUUAUCCCUUGCAUAUUAUAGUUCAUCACGAAGUUCUACUAACUUGGUGAUGGUGACUAGAGAAUUCUGUCAAUCACUAUCUUAUCUGGAAGAUUAACUCCCACUUGAUUCAAGCGAUUGUAGUACCCAGACAAUCUGAGCACAUGCUCACUAGUUGAGCGAUUCUCCUCCAUCUUUUAGCUAUAGAACUUGUUGGAGACUUCAUAUCUCUCAACUCGGGUAUUUUCUUGAAAUAUUAACUUCAACUCCUGGAACAUCUCAUAUGGUCCAUGACGUUUAAAAUGUCUUUGAAGUCCCAAUUCUAAGUCAUUUAAGUAUGGUGCACUAAACUAUCAAGUAGUCAUCAUAUUGAGCUAGCCAAACGUUCAUAACGUCUACAUCUGCUCCUGCAAUAGGUCUGUCACCUAGCGGUGCAUCAAGGACAUAAUUCUUCUGUGCAGCAAUGAGGAUAAACCUCAGAUUACGGAUCCAAUCCGCAUCAUUGCUACUAACAUCUUUCAACACAAUUUUCUCUAGGAACAUAUCAAAAUAAACACAGGGAAGCAACAACGCGAGCUAUUGAUCUAUAACAUAAUUUACAAAAUACUACCAGGACUAAGUUCAUGAUAAAUUUAAGUUCAAUUUAAUCAUAUUACUUAAGAACUCCCACUUAGAUAGACAUCCCUCUAAUCCUCUAAGUGAUUACGUGAUCCAAAUCAACUAAACCAUGUCCGAUCAUCACGUGAGAUGGAGAAGUUUCAUUGGUGAACAUUGCUAUGUUGAUCAUAUCUACUAUAUGAUUCACGCUCGACCUUUCAGUCUCCAUGUUCCGAGGCCAUAUCUGUAUAUGCUUGGCUCGUCAAGUAUAAUCUGAGUAUUCUGCGUGUGCAACUAUUUUGCACCCUUUGUAUUUGAACGUAGAGCCUAUCACACCCGAUCAUCACGUAGUGUCUCAGCACGAAGAACUUUCGCAACGGUGCAUACUCAGGGAGAACACUUCUUAAUAAUUAGUGAGAGAGCAUCUUAUAAUGCUACCGUCAAUCAAAGCAAGAUAAGACGCAUAAAAGAUAAACAUCACAUGCAAUCAAUAUAAGUGAUAUGAUAUGGCCAUCAUCAUCUUGUGCUUGUGAUCUCCAUCCUCGAAGCACCGUCGUGAUUACCAUCAUCAUCGGCGCGACACCUUGAUCUCCAUCGUAGCAUCGUUGUCGUCUCGCCAAUCUCAUGCUUCCACGACUAUCGCUACCCCUUAGUGAUAAAGUAAAGCAUUACAGCGCGAUUGCAUUGCAUACAAUAAAGCAACAAACAUAUGGCUCCUGCCAGUUGCCGAUAACUCGGUUACAAAACAUGAUCAUCUCAUACAAUAAAAUUUAGCAUCAUAUCUUGACCAUAUCAUAUCACAACAUGCCUUGCAAAAACAAGUUAUAACGUCCUCUACUUUGUUGUUGCAAGUUUUACGUGGCUGCUACGGGCUUGAGCAAGAACCAAUCUUACCUACGCAUCAAAACCACAACGAUAGUUUGUCAAGUUGGUGCUGUUUUAACCUUCGCAAGGACAGGGCGUAGCCACACUCGGUUCAACUAAAGUUGGAGAAACUGUCACCCGCAAGCCACCUAUGUGCAAAGCACGUCGGGAGAACCGGUCUCGCGUAAGCGUACGCGUAAUGUCGGUCCGGGCCGCUUCGUCCAACAAUACCGCCGAACCAAAGUAUGACAUGCUGGUAAGCAGUAUGACUUAUAUCGCCCACAACUCACUUGUGUUCUACUCGUGCAUAUAACAUCAACAUAUAAAACCUAGGCUCGGAUGCCACUGAUGGCUAACGUAGUAAUUUCAAAAAAAUUCCUAUGCACACGCAAGAUCAUGGUGAUGCACAGCAACAAGAGGGAAGAGUGUGAUCUACGUACCCUUGUAGACCGACAGCGGAAGCGUUAGCACAAUGCGGUUGAUGUAGUCGUACGUCUUCACGGCCCGACCGAUCAAGCACCGAAACUACGGCACCUCCGAGUUUUAGCACACGUUCAGCUCGAUGACGAUCCCCGGACUUCGAUCCAGCAAAGUGUCGGGAAAGAGUUCCGUCAGCACGACGGCGUGGUGACGAUCUUGAUGUACUACCGCCGCAGGGCUUCGCCUAAGCACCGCUACAAUAUUAUCGAGGAUUAUGGUGGAAGGGGGCACCGCACACGGCUAAGAAUAUGAUCACGUGGAUCAACUUGUGUGUCUAGGGGUGCCCCCUGCCCCCGUAUAUAAAGGAUCAAGGGGAGGAGGCCGGCCGGCCCCUAUGGCGUGCCAAGGAGGAGUCCUCCUCCUAGUAGGAGUAGGACUCCUACUAGGAGGGGGAAAGAAGUGGGGAGGGAGAAGGAAAGGGGGGCGCCGCCCCCCCUCUCCUAGUCCAAUUCAUACUAGGGGGAGGAGGCGCGCGGCCCACCUUUGGCUGCCCCUCUCUCUCUCCACUAAGGCCCAUAUGGCCCAUUACUUCUCCCGGGGGGGGUUCCGGUAACCCUCUGGCUCUCCGGUUUUCUCCGAAAUCACCCGGAACACUUCCAGUGUCCGAAUAUAGCCAUCCAAUAUAUCAAUCUUUAUGUCUCGACCAUUUCGAGACUCCUCGUCAUGUCCGUGAUCACAUCCGGGACUCUGAACUAACUUCGGUACAUCAAAACUCAUAAACUCAUAAUAUAACUGUCAUCGAAACCUUAAGCGUGCGGACCCUACGGGUCCGAGAACAAUGUAGAGAUGACCGGGACACGUCUCCGGUCAAUAACCAAUAGCGGAACCUGGAUGCUCAUAUUGGCUCCUACAUAUUCUACGAAGAUCUUUUAUCGGUCAGACCGCAUAACAAUAUACGUUGUUCCCUUUGUCAUCGAUAUGUUACUUGCCCGAGAUUCAAUCGUCGGUAUCUCAAUACCUAGUUCAAUCUUGUUACCGGCAAGUCUCUUUACUCGUUCCGUAAUACAUCAUCUCGCAACUAACUCAUUAGUUGCAAUGCUUGCAAGGCUUAAGUGAUGUGCAUUACCGAGAGGGCCCAGAGAUACCUUUCCGACAAUCGGAGUGACAAAUCCUAAUCUUGAAAUACGCCAACCCAACAUGUACCUUUGGAGACACCUGUAGAGCACCUUUAUAAUCACCCAGUUACGUUGUGACGUUUGGUAGCACACAAAGUAUUCCUUCGGCAAACGGGAGUUGCAUAAUCUCAUAGUCAUAGGAACAUGUAUAAGUCAUGAAGAAAGCAAUAGCAACAUACUAAACGAUCAGGUGCUAAGCUAAUGGAAUGGGUCAUGUCAAUCAGAUCAUUUAACUAAUGAUGUGAUCCCGUUAAUCAAAUGACAACUCUUUGUCCAUGGUUAGGAAACAUAACCAUCUUUGAUUAACGAGCUAGUCAAGUAGAGGCAUACUAGUGACACUCUGUUUGUCUAUGUAUUCACACAUGUAUUAUGUUUCCGGUUAAUACAAUUCUAGCAUGAAUAAUAAACUUUUAUCAUGAUAUAAGGAAAUAAAUAAUAACUUUAUUAUUGCCUCUAGGGCAUAUUUCCUUCAUUUGCACCCCGCAUGCUUGCUUACGGCGAUGGGAUCGGCUGUGUCCGAUCAUUGCCCCCUGCUGGUUGAUUUACACGCGGACUUCACGAUGGGCAGGAGGUUCCGCUUUGAGGCCUUCCGGCCAAAGGCGGAGGGAUUCUUUGACGUAGUGGACACGGCUUGGCAUUCGGUGCCCGGGACAGGAAACCCUUUUGUCACGUUGGAUAAUAAACUGCGGGCCACCGCCAAGGCCCUUCAACGAUGGAGCGAUAAGUGGAUUGGUAACGCUAAGCUGCAAACCUUGAUCGCCCUCGAGGUCAUUGCGAGGUUGGAUCAAGCCAUGGAUAACAGAAUGCUCUCGGCUGAGGAGCACGGCUUACGCAGAGUGUUGAAGAGGAAGCUGCUUGGUCUGGCUUCAUUGCAACGUAUGAUUGCGAGGCAGCGAUCCCAAAUGCUGCAACUGAGGGAUGGAGAAGCAAACACGGCAUAUUUUCACUGGCAGGCGUGCCAUAGACAGCGGAAGAACGCCAUUUUGUCGUUGCAUGCGAAUGGCCGCAUGCUAUCCGGUCAGGACGAGAUUGCGGAGGAAGUGGAUGCAUAUUAUUCCAGCCUCUUUGCGUCGGCACCGGAUAGGGAUUUUGCGCUGAACAUGGAUACUUUGGGAUUGCCGGUGCGUGACCUCUCGCACCUUGAGGCCCCGUUCACACACGAGGAGGUGGAGAAAGUGGUGAAAGGGAUGCCACUUGAUAAGGCGCCGGGACCGGACGGAUUUACGGGGCGCUUUUAUGCCUCGUGCUGGCAUAUUAUACGGGACGACAUCAUGCGGGCAAUGGACCAUUUUUUCCGUGGAGACAUGCGGGGGCUGCCUUCAAUCAAUAAGGCGAUAGUCACACUUCUGCCCAAGAAGAUGGGAGCGAUGGAGAUUAAGGACUACAGACCGGUGAGCCUCAUUCAUGGGGCAAUCAAGAUUUUCGAGAAGGUCCUGGCAACAAGGCUGGCGGCGGAACUACCGCAUCUCGUGGGCAACCAUCAAAGUGCGUUUGUGAGCGGGAGGUCUCUCCAUGACAACUUCAUGUUGGUUCAGUGCACGGCUAGGCGCCUGCACGCUCUGCGGGAGCCCACGGUGCUCCUGAAGUUGGACAUCGCUAAGGCCUUCGACACCAUUCAAUGGCCGUUCCUACUGGAAGUGCUGGAGCACAUGGGCUUUGGAGGAAGAUGGCGAGCUUGGAUUUGUGGCAUUCUUUCCACGUCGUCCACGCGGAUUGCGGUGAAUGGGGUGCCCGGUGACACGAUCUUCAACUGUUGCGGGCUCCGCCAGGGAGACCCGGUAUCCCCAAUGCUAUUCAUCUUGUGCAUGGAACCGCUGCAUCGGUUGUUCCUGAAGGCCACUGCAGUUGGCAUCCUCACCCCCCUGGCACGUCGUGGACUACGGCAACGGAUUUCCAUGUUUGCGGAUGAUGUGACCAUCUUCAUCAGGCCAGAGCGGAGGGACUUGGUAGCCUGUGAUUUGAUCCUGCGCGCCUUCAGUCAGGCUGCUGGUCUGCUUGUCAACAUGGCAAAAAGCGCAGCACUUCCCAUCCGAUGCUCUGAGGAGCAACUGACUCUUGUGUGUGACACGCUUGGGUGCCUUGCCGCUGCCUUUCCAUGCAAAUACUUGGGCCUCCCGCUCUCCCUCAGGAAGCUCACGGCGGCGCAACUGCAAGGGCUCGUGGAUCAGUUGGCCAUGCGCCUGCCGCACUGGAAGGCGGCGACCCUACCCAAGAGCAGCCGUGCAUUACUGGUACAAUCGGUGCUAUCUGCCAUACCGAUCCAUUCCAUGUUGGCUCUUGGCUUGCCACCGAGGACCAUCGUCGCGAUGGUUAAGAUUUGCCGAGGAUUUUUGUGGGCCGGCAAGCCGGAUGCAGGCGGAGGCGCCUGUGCGGUGGCCUGGAACCGGGUUUGCACGCCUAAGUGGUCUGGUGGGCUUGGCAUCCCCGACCUGGCCUGGACGAAUGUGGCGCUUCAAACCAGGUGGUUAUGGUUAAAGAGAGUGGAUCGCGACAGGCCCUGGGCGGAGUUCUCCUUUUCAGUGCCAAAGGAGGCCAAGCAGCUUUUUCAGGCAGCAGCCAGAGUGACUGUGGGGAACGGGCGCGACACGCUGUUUUGGGAGGAUCGUUGGCUCGACGGCUAUCGGAUUCAAGAGCUCGCACUGCGCGCAUACGACUCAGUCACGACAAGGAUCAGAGGGACACGGACAGUUUUUGAGGCUGUCACGCACGGACGGUGGGCCACGGACAUAGGGCCUAUUGGCGACAUGGCCGGGAUCGAGGAGUAUAUGAGCAUCUGGCUCAGGAUUGGGGAGGUGCAGCUCCAGGAGGAAAUUGUGGACUCCUUCUCCUGGUCUUGGGAGAGGAGUGGCGAGUUCACGGCCCGAUCGGCCUACGCGGCUCGAUUUGCCGGACGACAGGUGUCCCCCACGGCGGCUUUCACUUGGCGUUCGAAGGCUCCACUCCGAUGUCGUUUCUUUGCAUGGUUAGCAAUCAUGAACAGGUGCUGGACGUCGGACAGAUUGGCGAGGCGAGGGCUACCACACCAAGACGCCUGCCCAUUUUGCGAUCAGCAUGACGAAACGAUCGGCCACCUACUUGUGGAGUGUGUGCUGGCACGGGAGGUUUGGGCCCGCAUCUUCUCGGCCUUCAACAUGCCAGCGGGUGCGCCGCAGGCAGGAGAGACACUGCAGGACUGGUGCACUAGGCACGGCUCGCCCGGGCGUAACGCGAAAACAAUCCACACCGUAUGUCUGCUCACCCAGCGGGAGCUAUGGAAGCACAGGAACGCCAUAGUGUUCGACGGGGCGAAUGUAAGCGUUACACGCCUUAUGGACCGAAUAGGAAGCGUGAGUAGAGCUUGGAUGCAGGCGGGCAUUUUGAGAGGAGACCUGGCAGCGGCCUUCAUAGGGGCACCGGAGUGGGCACACGGCGAGUAGUCGGUUUAGUGUGUAGGCGGAUGGCGAUGAAACGCCGGUAAGGAUGUAAUAUAACCGUGGAGUGCUCUUCCCCUUUCUUCUUUAAUAUAUGAUACGCACACUCGUGCGUAUUCGAGAAAAAAAAGUAGUGUAAUUCAAUGCAGCGUAGUCAUAGCCUUUUUUAUUUAUGACGAGGGAACAUAACCGUAGCAUCCUGUCAAUCUACCUUCGCUGGACACCACAUUAUCACAUGUAGCCAAGUAGGGGUUGUACGCGUUCUCCAGUAAAAGAGUUGUCGAGUGGGUGCAUUGCUGCUACCAAACAACGAGUAGCGAGUAUUAAUAGUAGUGGACGGACGCUAUCUGAAUCUGAUUAGAUUGCAUCUACUGUGCAUCUAUUCCAUGCACGUACACGCGCUGAAAAGCGGCUCGGAGAAAGGCGGCUGGAAAGGCAAAAGGGAAGAAGAUGCAUGGCGCGGCGAGCAAGCAAGGCCGGGUUGGGUUGGGUUGGGUUGGGUCAGCCAUCCCCUUCCGCGCCCGCCCAGCCCCAGCCCAUGGGAGGAGAGGAGGCUUGGAAGAGGAGGAAAAGGCACGAGCGUGGCCGUGUGAGUACCGGCUAACCAUCACGCACACGGAGCAGGACCCUUAUCUACCCAGCCCGCCCCCGUCCCUCUCUCGACCGAUCGCAGUAUCCAUCCAUCUCCGUUGGGAGUUCAGAAUGUUUGUCUGCAACAGCACAAAAGCGCAAAGCCGCGGCCACGGGACCACCAGCAGACAAACAUGUAUCACCUUCCUCCCCUCCGAUCUGCUCACGAAGCCCCUUUCGAGUUGCUUGCGUGCAGUCGCUUGGCAUGGAAGUUGGGGUUAGCUGGAGGAAAAGUUGCAUCGGACCCGACCUUGGAGCGGGAGGUGCAGUGCACUCGCGGUCACUGGCCGGCUAGAUCGUGUCUGAGCUUUAGCUCGCCCAGUCCGCCUCCCGUCUCUUCUCAAAAGGGAAGGUUCAGUUCAACCACUGCUGAUUUAACGCACUCUCUAUUAGGGUUAGGUGGGAGCUAGCCAAAAGGAAUCUGUUAAUAAAACCUCUCGUCUGUCAAUUUUGGUCAAUAAACCAAACCAUUAUUUCUUCUAGACAAGUCAACUGGCAAUGUACUCCUGUUUUUUUUAGAAGAAAAAAACUGGCAAUGUACUAGUGUCUCUUCUGUUCAUCGCACUUUUUUUUUCAAUUGCCUACUUGGUGGAUAUACAAUAUAGUUGGUUCGAUGCUAAAAGUUGACAUGCCAAUAUUUGGCUUGUGAUUGGUUGGCUACCAACUACAUUGCCAAACUCAUAAAAAGUUGCCAGAUUUUAUUAACUUUGAUUUUGCCAAAUGUUGGCGUCAAACCAAUUAGGCUAACACUACGGUAUUCUACUUGAUCAGCUAUAUCUUCGGUUUCUAAACAUAUUUCCAUUUUCUUUUUCUUUUGAAAAGGAGGUUGAACCCCUGACGUUUUCAUCAUUGCGAUGCAUACGAUCAUUUUUAAAUUAAUAUUAAACAGAGUAGAACAAAGACAACCACUUCCGAAUCAUUACAAGAUAUGAGAUUAACUGAGUCAUCUUCUUUCGCAACAGUCCCUUUAAGAAGGAUAAAUGUCCUCAUGUCAUUGUUGCCAUGUCCGAUCGGAGACGGUCUGGACAAGAUUUUUUUUUUUUUGACUAACGUCUGGACAAGAAUUUUCAUCCUAAUUACCAAGACCAACCAGUGAAGAAGGUUAAGACAACAACAAGUAGACAACACACUUAACAGGGUAACGACGUAAGUUCGUCGCCAGUGAGCCUGGACAACAAAAGCCAGGACAAUAAUUGUUGACCCCGACAUGACGCGGUGAUUUUGACGACAGAUGGUACGAUAGCUCCAUUCGAUGGUACUCCAUGUCAGACAGAAAGGCACCGGUGGGACGAACGUCUUUCCACCUUAUAUUACGAUAAUUACGGGAGAUGAAUUCCUGCAUUUAAUUAUCGUCCUACCUACAGGAGUACGUGCUACAGCACAAAUGCAUGUACAUAACAUAAACACGACAGCCUCGAGUUCGUCCUUUGGGCGGAGUAUUAUAAAUGCCGUGCUUGGUACAUGCCGGAAGCAAAUCGUGCGUGACAAGCAAGGAACGAGCAAGAGCAGUAGUUGUCUAGCCUAGCUUAAACAAGAGAACACAGCUCAUAGGUAUGGAAGAUCAGCAGCAGGUUGACUUUAAGUUGGCCACACUCCAAAGCUACAAGUCCAUGUAAUAUGCGUGCAUGGGCCAGCCCCGUACGUCCAACUGCCGCCAGCCGCGACGUCGAGCCCAACCCCGGCGUGCAUGCCCCCCAUGCUCAUCAUCAUCAUCAUCAUCAUCAUCAUCUUCAUCUUCAUCGUCGUCGUAAAUCCAAGCACAAAGCACACCCACCAAACGGUCGAAAGUAACUGAACAGCACGGAAAACAAAAGCUAUUUGGUUGCUUUGGCCCCACUCAUCGUGCAUAGAUAUCUCAUCGACCAAUGGUUUCCCAGGUGGCCAGGUAUAUAUAGAGAACCCGAGCAACUCCAUUGCAAUCACCAAGCAGAGCUAGCAGAGCCCCACUCGACACCAGAGAGGAAGCAGCUAGCAAUGGCCGUCCCCAGCUCGCCGUCCCUUCUCCUCGUCGCGGCGAUGGUCCUCUGCGCCGCGACGACGCCGGGCGCCGCCCAGGCCGUCACGACGAGGAAGUACCACUUCGAUGUAAGUGUGUCCAUACAUACAUGCAUGAUGCAUAUGUACAUGUGUACAGCUACAUCAAUUAUUAUUAAAAAAAAUCCUAUACCUACGUGAAAUCCCUACGCAAACAUUUACGUACUACUAGUUGAUUUUUUAGAUUGCCGUCUGCUGUUGAGUGUUGUACGUAACAAUUCCAUCAAACUUUUACGUGUGAAUUGCACUGCUCUGCAAUUAUCAUUGAGGUUGUUGCAAGCAGACAUGCACGCGUGCCGAUCGACCGUGCAUGCAGGGCGGCUAACCGGCGACGUACUGACCCUAAUGGCGAAAUGCAUGGCGCGUACGCAGGUGGGAAUGACGAGCGUGACGCGGCUGUGCGGCACCAAGAGCAUCGCGACGGUGAACGGGCAGUUCCCGGGGCCGACGCUGUUCGCGCGGGAGGGCGACCACGUGGAGGUCAACGUGGUCAACAACUCGCCCUACAACAUGAGCAUCCACUGGCACGGCGUGCGGCAGCUGCUCAGCGGCUGGUACGACGGGCCCUCCUACGUCACGCAGUGCCCGAUCCAGCCGGGCCAGAGCUACGUCUACCGCUUCCAGAUCGUCGGGCAGCGGGGCACGCUCUGGUGGCACGCGCACAUCUCCUGGCUCCGCGCCACCGUGCACGGGCCCAUCGUCAUCCUCCCGCCCGCCGGCGUGCCCUACCCGUUCCCGGCGCCGGAGGCCGAGGUGCCCCUCAUGUUCGGCGAGUGGUGGCGGAACGACACCGAGGCCGUCAUCGCCCAGGCGCUGCGGACCGGCGGCGGGCCUAACGUGUCCGACGCCUAUACUAUGAAUGGACUCCCCGGCCCGCUCUACGCCUGCUCGGCCAAGGACACGUUUAGGUUGAAGGUGAAGCCUGGCAAGACGUACAUGCUCCGGCUCAUCAACGCCGCGCUCAACGACGAGCUCUUCUUCGCGGUGGCAAGCCACACGCUCACCGUCGUCGACGUCGACGCGCUCUACGUCAAGCCCUUCGCCGUCGAGACCCUCAUCAUCGCGCCCGGCCAGACCAGCAACGUGCUCCUCACCGCCAAGCCGGCCUACCCCGGCGCCAGGUACUACAUGCUGGCCCGCCCCUACACCAACACGCAGGGCACCUUCGACAACACCACCGUCGCCGGCAUCCUCGAGUACGAGCAUGAUGACCCCGCCACCGGCAAGAGCCUGCCCAUCUACAGGCCGACCCUGCCGCAGAUCAACGACACCAGCGCCGUGUCCAACUACACCGCCAAGCUGCGCAGCCUGGCGAGCGCCGCGUACCCGGCGGCCGUGCCGCAGGCGGUGGACCGGGAGUUCCUCUUCACCGUCGGCCUCGGCACCCACCCGUGCGCGCCGGGCUCCCCCGUGAACGGGAGCACGUGCCAGGGCCCCAACGGGACGGCCCGGUUCGCGGCGUCCAUCAACAACGUCUCCUUCGUGCUCCCGACCACGGCGCUGCUGCAGUCGCACUACACCGGGAUGUCCAAGGGCGUGUACGCCUCCGACUUCCCCUUCGCGCCGCCGCGCCCGUUCAACUACACGGGCACGCCGCCCAACAACACGAACGUGAUGACCGGGACCAAGGCGCUGGUGCUGCCGUUCGGCACCGCCGUGGAGCUGGUGAUGCAGGACACCAGCAUCCUCGGCGCCGAGAGCCACCCGCUGCACCUGCACGGCUUCAACUUCUUCGUCGUCGGCCAGGGCUUCGGCAACUACGACCCGGCCAAGGACCCCGCCAAGUUCAACCUCGUCGACCCCGUCGAGCGCAACACCGUCGGCGUCCCCGCCGGCGGCUGGGUCGCCAUCCGCUUUCGCGCCGACAACCCAGGUCCGUUCGCACAUAUGCAUGCAUACAUGGAGCUUGAAUCCUCAUUCAUUAGCGCAUGUACAUGUACUGUGUCGAUCAAAGCUAACUGCUCAUAUGGACAUAUGCAUUGCUUCUCGCAGGUGUAUGGUUCAUGCAUUGCCAUUUGGAGGUGCACAUGAGCUGGGGGCUGAAGAUGGCGUGGCUGGUGCUGGACGGAAACCUUCCGAACCAGAAGCUCCCGCCGCCGCCGGCGGAUCUCCCAAAAUGCUAGACAUGAUUACCAAGAUCGAUCGUCGGUGAAGAAGAUUGGUCGAUCGCUUCAUUGCUUCGCUUCCGCCUCACUUUGUUAUCCGCAAGCUUUUGCUCUCGCGUGUCCAGCAAGUUCGUCGUGAUUAUGUCCAAUAUAGUGAUGUGUUCUUUUUUACACUAAUUCAUUUUUCAGGCGAUUCGCCGUGCUUGUUGUAUGCACUUUAUUAAUUGCCACGGUGUUGUGAGGAGUUUUCUUAAUUGGCUGGGCUUCUUUGUAAGUUGUAACCGAAAGCUUGUGUGUGCCUUUUUUUUUCUAUCUGUAUGUAUCUGCAGUGUAUUUUUCGAAAUAAAGCCUAGAUAUGUUCAUUGUCACGAUAAAUUUUGUUUGCACACUCUAUUAGGAGAGCAUUUUUUGAAGUUUAUGGGCAUUAGCUAUUUAACAAGGGACUGUCUAUUUGACAUUUGACUGUUUUUCAAUUCGAAAACAGUCAAAUUUCCCGAUCAAUCAAUAGACUACACCUGUAUGAGUAGGAAAAUCACCAAAGAGCAAAAAGAACGUCUAAAUGGACCGGGUAAACAUCUGACCCGGUUCUUUCUGGACAACAAACCUCCCUCCUGAUCAGGGACCACAUAGCACAUGCCAACAAGCUGGGUGCAAACGCCUGCAGUCCCAUAAUUGCACUGAAAAUAGACAAAAUUACACUAACAAAACUGGACUUAAUUAUACUAAAAAUAGACAAAAUUACUGUGCAAACUGGGUGCAAAAACAGGCUAAAAAUACACUGACAAAACCAUUCAAAAUCCUAUAACAAACCACACUGGAAUUAUUGGAUACGCUACACUGUAAUGUUGGGAUAAAUUAAAUUGUAAGUACAUUUAAAUUACACUAUAAAACCACUAGAAUACACUGGAAUUGAUGGGUAAAUUACACUUAAAAGUCUGUAAUGCUGGGAUGAACUACACCGUAAUUACAAUCAAAAUAGCACUGUAAAAUGCACUCGAAAUCACACUGGAAAAAAGGUAAAUUACACUGUAAAUCUGGAACAAUUAUACUAUAAGACUAGGACAAAUUAUACUGCAAUAGUGAGAUAAAAUGUAGAUUAUACUGUAAGACUAGGACAAAUUACACAGCAAUACUAAGAUAAUUUUAAUCAAUGGGUCUGUCACAUACAGAUCCGUAAGUAUUUUGCGAAUUCUAUGUCUACAAUGCUCUGCAAGGAGCUACUCUAGCUAAUUGCUCCCACUUUCAAUAUGUAACUUUUUACGACGAACCUUUUGUCACCUCCAUAAUCGAGAAAUAUUUUCUUAUUUCACUAAGGAUAAUUUUGACCAAUGUCCAGUGAUCUACUCUUAGAUCAUUAUUGUACUCUCUUGCUUAACAGAGUGUAGGGUAUGCAAUAGAUCUGGUACACAUCAUGGCAUACUUUAUAGAACCUAUGGCUGAGGCAUAGGAAAUGACUUACAUUCUCUUUCUAUCUUCUGCCGUGGUCGGGCUUUGAGUCUUACUCAAUUUCAUACCUUGUAACACAGUUAAGACCUCUUUCUUUGACUGUUUCAUUUUUGAACUACUUCAAAAUAUCGUCAAGGUAUGUACUCAUUGAAAAAACUUAUCAAGCGUCUUGAUCUAUCUCUAUAGAUUUUGAUACUUAAUAUGUAAGCAGCUUCACCGAGGUCUUUCUUUGAAAAACUUCUUUAAGAACACUCCUUUAUGCUUUGCAGAUUAAUUCUACAUUAUUUCCGAUCAACAAUAUGUCAUUCACAUAUAUUUAUCAGAAAUGUUGUAGUGCUCCCACUCACUUUCUUGUAAAUACAGGCUUCAUCGCAAGUCUGUAUAAAACUAUAUGCUUUGAUCAUACUAUCAAAGCGUUUAUUCCAACUCCGAGAUGCUUGCACCAGUCCAUAGAUGGAUCGCUGGAGCUUGCAUAUUUUGUUAGCACCUUUAGGAUUGACAAAACCUUCUGGUUGUAUCAUAUACAACUCUUCUUUAAUAAAUCUAUUAAGGAAUGCAGUUUUAUUUAUCCAUUUGCCAGAUUUCAUAAAAUGCGGCAAUUGCUGACAUGAUUCGGACAGACUUAAGCAUAGAUACGAGUGAGAAACUCUCAUCGUAGUCAACACCUUGAACUUGUCGAAAACCUUUUGCGACAAUUCUAGCUUUGUAGAUAGUAACACUACUAUCAGCGUCCGUCUUCCUCUUGAAGAUCCAUUUAUUCUCAAUUGCUUGCCGAUCAGUGGGCAAGUCAACCAAAGUCCAUACUUUGUUCUCAUACAUGGAUCCCAUCUCAGAUUUCAUGGCUUCAAACCAUUUUGCGGAAUCUGGGCUCACCGUCGCUUCUUCAUAGUUCGUAGGUUCGUCAUGGUCAAGUAGCAUGACCUCCAGAACAGGAUUAACGUACCACUCUGGUGCGGAUCUCACUCUGGUUUACCUACGAGAUUCGGUAGUAACUUGAUCUGAAGUUACAUGAUCAUCAUCAUUAGCUUCCUCACUAAUUGGUGUAGUAGUCACAGGAACAGAUUUCUGUGAUGAACUACUUUCCAAUAAGGGAGAAGGUACAAUUACCUUAUCAAGUUCUACUUUCCUCCCACUCACUUCUUUCGAGAGAACCUCCUUCUCUAGAAAGGAUCCAUUCUUAGUAACGAAUGUCUUGCCUUCGGAUCUGUGAUAGAAGGUGUACCCAACAGUAACUUUUUGGGUAUCCUAUGAAGAUCCACUUUUCCGAUUUGGGUUUGAGCUUAUCAGGAUGAAACUUUUUCACAUAAGCAUUGCAACCCCAAACUUUAAGAAACGACAACUUUGGUUUCUUGCCAAACCACAGUUCAUACGGUGUCGUCUCAACAGAUUUAGAUGGUGCCCUUUUAACGUGAAUGCAGCUGUCUCUAAUGCAUAACCCCAAAACGAUAGUGGUAGAUCGGUAAGAGACAUCAUAGAUUGCACUAUAUCCAAUAAAGUACGGUUAUGACGUUCGGACACACCAUUAUGCUGAGGUGUUCCAUGUGGCAUGAGUUUGUAAAACUAUUCCACAUUGUUUUAAUUGAAGACCAAACUCGUAACUCAAAUAUUUGUCUCCGCGAUCAGAUCGUAGAAACUUUAUUUUCUUGUCACGAUGAUUUUCCACUUCACUCUGAAAUUCUUUGAACUUUUCAAAUGUUUCAGACUUAUGUCUCAUCAAGUAGAUAUACCCAUAUCUGCUCAAAUCAUCUGUGAAGUUCAGAAAAUAACGAUACUUGUCGUGAGCUUUAACACUCAUCGGACCGCAUACAUCAGUAUGUAUUAUUUCUAAUAAGUCAGUUGCUCGCUCCGGAGAACGGAGUCUCAGUCAUCUUGCCCAUGAGGCAUGGUUCGCAAGCAUCAAGUGAUUCCAAAAUCCCAUCAGCAUGUAGUUUCUUCAUGCGCUUUACACCAAUAUGACCAAAACGGCAGUGCUACAAAUAAGUUGCACUAGCAUUAUUAACUUUGCAUCUUUUGGCUUCAAUAUUAUGAAUAUGUGUAUCACUACAAUCGAGAUCCAACAAACCAUUUUCGUUGGUGUGUAUGACCAUAGAAGGUUUUAUUCAUGUAAACAGAACAAUAAUUGUUCUCUAACUUAAAUGAAUAACCGUAUUGCAAUAAACAUGAUCAAAUCAUAUUCAUGCUCAACGCAAACACCAAAUAACACUUAUUUAGGUUCAACACUAAUCUCGAAAGUAUAGGGAGUGUGCGAUGAUGAUCAUAUCAAUCUUGGAACCACUUCCAACACACAUCGUCACUUCACCCUUAACUAGUCUCUGUUUAUUCUGCAACUCUCGUUUCGAGUUACUAAUUUUAGCAACUGAACUAGUAUCAAAUACUGAGGGGUUGCUAUAAACACUAGUAAAGUACACAUCAAUAGCAUGUAUAUCAAAUAUACUUAUGUUCACUUUGCCAUCCUUCUUAUCUGCCAAUCACUUGGGGUAGUUCCGUUUCCAGUGACCAGUCCCUUUGCAGUAGAAACACUUAGUCUCAGGCUUAGGACCAGGCUUGGGCUUCUUCACUUGAGCAGCAACUUGCUUGUUGUUCUUCUUGAAGUUCCCCUUCUUUCCUCUGCCCUUUUCUUGAAACUAGUGGUCUUGUCUACCAUCAACACUUGAUGUUUUUCUCGAUUUCUACCUUCGUCAAUUUCCGCAUUACGAAGAGCUUGGAAAUCGUUUCCGUUAUCCCUUGCAUAUCAUAGUUCAUCAUGAAGUUCUACUAACUUGGUGAUGGUGACUAGAGAAUUCUGUUAAUCACUAUCUUAUCUGGAAGAUUAACUCCCACUUGAUUCAAGCGAUUGUAGUACUCAGACAAUCUGAGCACAUGCUCACUAGUUGAGCGAUUCUCCUCCAUCUUUUAGCUAUAGAACUUGUUGAAGACUUCAUAUCUCUCAACUCGGGUAUUUGCUUGAAAUAUUAACUUCAACUCCUGGAACAUCUCAUAUGCUGCAUGACAUUCAAAACGUCUUUGAAGUCCCGAUUCUAAGCCAUUAAGCAUGGUGCACUAAACUAUCAAAUAGUCAUCAUAUUGAGCUAGCCAAACGUUCAUAACGUUUGCAUCUGCUCCUGCAAUAGGUCCGUCACCUAGCGGUGCAUCAAGGACAUAAUUCUUCUGUGCAGCAAUGAGGAUAAACCUCAGAUCACGGAUCCAAUCCGCAUCAUUGCUACUAACAUCUUUCAACACAAUUUUCUCUAGGAACAUAUCAAAAUAUACACAGGGAAGCAACAACGCGAGCUAUUGAUCUACAACAUAAUUUGCAAAAUACUACCAGGACUAAGUUCAUGAUAAAUUUAAGUUCAAUUAAUCAUAUUACUUAAGAACUCCCACUUAGAUAGACAUCUCUCUAAUCCUCUAAGUGAUUACGUGAUCCAAAUCAACUAAACCAUGUCCGAUCAUCACGUGAGAUGGAGUAGUUUCAUUGGUGAAUAUCGCUAUGUUGAUCAUAUCUGCUAUAUGAUUCACGCUCGACCUUUCGGUCUCCGUGUUCCGAGGCCAUAUCUGUAUAUGCUUGGCUCGUCAAGUAUAACCUGAGUAUUCUGCGUGUGCAACUGUUUUGCACCCGUUGUAUUUGAACAUAGAGCCUAUCACACCCGAUCAUCACGUGGUGUCUCAGCACGAAGAACUUUCGCAACGGUGCAUACUCAGGGAGAACACUUCUUGAUAAUUAGUGAGAGAUCAUCUUAUAAUGCUACCGUCAAUCAAAGCAAGAUAAGAUGCAUAAAAGAUAAACAUCACAUGCAAUCAAUAUAAGUGAUAUGAUAUGGCCACCAUCAUCUUGUGCUUGUGAUCUCCAUCUUCGAAGCAUCGUCAUGAUCACCAUUGUCACCGGCGCGACACCUUGAUCUCCAUCGUAGCAUCGUUGUCGUCUCGCCAAUCUUAUGCUUCCACGACUAUCGCUACCGCUUAGUGAUAAAGUAAAGCAUUACAGCGCGAUUGCAUUGCAUACAAUAAAACGACAACCAUAUGGCUCCUGCCAGUUGCCGAUAACUCGAUUACAAAACACGAUCAUCUCAUACAAUAAAAUUUAGCAUCAUGUCUUGACCAUAUCACAUCACAACAUGCCCUGCAAAAACAAGUUAGACGUCCUCUACUUUGUUGUUGCAAGUUUUACGUGGCUGCUACGGGCUUAAGCAAGAACCAAUCUUACCUACGCAUCAAAACUACAACGAUAGUUUGUCAAGUUGGUGUUGUUUUAACCUUCGCAAGGACCAGGCGUAGCCACACUCGGUUCAACUAAAGUUGGAGAAACUGUCACCCGCUAGCCACCUUUGUGCAAAGUACGUCGGGAGAACCGGUCUCGCGUAAGCGUACGCGUAAUGUCGGUCCGGGCCGCUUCGUCCAACAAUACCGCCAAACCAAAGUAUGACAUGCUGGUAAGCAGUAUGACUUAUAUCGCCCACAGCUCACUUGUGUUCUACUCGUGCAUAUAACAUCAACACAUAAAACCUAGGCUCGGAUGCCACUGUUGGGGAACGUAGUAAUUUCAAAAUUUUCCUACGCACACGCAAGAUCAUGGUGAUGCAUAGCAACGAGAGGGGAGAGUGUGAUGUACGUACCCUUGUAGAUCGACAACGGAAGCGUUAGCACAACGUGGUUGAUGUAGUCGUAAGUCUUCACGGUUCGACCUAUCCAAGCACCGUUACUCCGGCACCUACGAGUUCUUGGCACACGUUCAGCUCGAUGACGAUCCCCGGGCUCCGGUCCAGCAAAGCGUCGGGGAGGAGUUCCGUUAGCACGACGGCGUGGUGACGAUCUUGAUGUUCUACCGUCGCAGGGCUUCACCUAAGCACCGCUACAAUAUGACCGAGGUGGAAUAUGGUGGAGGGGGCACCGCACACGGCUAAGGAACGAUCACGAAGAUCAACUUGUGUCUAUGGGGUGCCCCUUGCCUCAGUAUAUAAAGGAUGGAGGAGGAGGAGGCCGGUCAAGGCAAUUGGUGCGGCCAGGAUGUGGAGUCCUACUAGGACUCCAAGUCCUAGUAGGAGUCCACCAAGAGGGGAGGAAGGGAGAAGGAAGUGGAGGAGAAGGAAAGGUGGUUGGCCCCCUUUUCCCUAGUCCAAUUCGGACCAGAGGGGAGGGGGGGCGCAGCAGCCCCUUGGCCCUUUCUCCUCUUCCCACUAAAGCCCAUCAAGGCCCAUUGCUUCUCCCGUAACUACCCGGUACUCCGAAAAAUACCCGAAUCACUCGGAACCUUUCCGAUGUCCGAAUAUAGUCGUCCAAUAUAUCGAUCUUUACGUCUCGACCAUUUCGAGACUCCUCGUCAUGUCCCCGAUCUCAUCCGGGACUCCGAACUCCUUCGGUAUAUCAAAACUCAUAAACUCAUAAUAUAAUUGUCAUCGAAACCUUAAGCGUGCGGACCCUACGGUUCGAGAACAAUGUAGACAUGACCGAGACAUGUCUCCGGUCAAUAACCAAUAGUGGAACCUGGAUGCUCAUAUUGGCUCCUACAUAUUCUACGAAGAUCUUUUAUCGGUCAGACCACAUAACAACAUACGUUGUUCCCUUUGUCAUCGGUAUGUUACUUGCCCGAGAUUCGAUCGUCGGUAUCUCAAUACCUAGUUCAAUCUUGUUACCGGCAAGUCUCUUUACUCGUUCCGUAAUACAUCAUCUCGCAACUAACUCAUUAGUUGCAAUGCUUGCAAGGCUUCAGUGAUCUGCAUUACCGAGAAGGCCCAGAGAUACCUCUCCGACAAUCGGAGUGACAAAUCCUAAUGUUGAAAUACGCCAACCCAACAUGUACCUUUGGAGACACCUGUAGAGCUCCUUUAUAAUCACCCAGUUACGUUGUGACGUUUGGUAGCACACAAAGUGUUUCUCCGGCAAACGGGAGUUACAUAAUCUCAUAGUCAUAGGAACAUGUAUAAGUUAUGAAGAAAGCAAUAGCAACAUACUAAACGAUCGGGUGCUAAGCUAAUGGAAUGGGUCAUGUCAAUCAGAUCAUUCACCUAAUGAUGUGAUCCCGUUAAUCAAAUAACAACUCUCUGUCCAUGGUUAGGAAACAUAACCAUCUUUGAUUAACGAGCUAGUCAAGUAGAGGCAUACUAGUGACACUCUGUUUGUCUAUGUAUUCACACAUGUAUUAUGUUUCCGGUUAAUACAAUUCAAGCAUGAAUAAUAAACAUUUAUCAUGAUAUAAGGAAAUAAAUAAUAACUUUAUUAUUGCCUCUAGGGCAUAUUUCCUUCAAGAACAUCUAUAGAAAUCCCACAUGCUACAUCUACAGAAUCUAGCACCUACAGGUACAUCUACAGAAAUCCGCCAUGCUACAUCUACAGAGACAAAGGGAAAACAACCGCUACAUCUACAAACUACAACAGGAGCGUGUGGGGGACGACCACGACAACCAUAGAGGACCUAGCAAUCACACCUACCAGCGGCUGCACCAGAUGGCGAGAGGGCGACAUGAACUGACGUAAAUCUGGAACAAACACAAGCAACAAACACAAGCAAAAGAACCAACUACGACACCGGGGAGCGAGGAGAAAGGGAAGAGAAAUCAAGCUCGUGCGGUGGAAGAUCUUGAAAUCGCCAUGAAAAAAUAAAAUUAGAUCAAAAAAAUACUUACACUAUUCACAUACAAAUUGUAAAGUGCUUUAUCAAACUCUGCAUCAUCAACAAAGAAAUCCUGAAAAAAGGAAAAAUUCAGACAAUAAGCACAACACUUAAGAAAAUGAAAAAUAGAAAAAACAUAAUGAAAAUGAAAAGAAGACAAAGAUAACUACCAAAGACAUAACAUUCUCACCAGCGAAAUCAUUAGGCACGAAAGGAUCUUUUGAAGAAUCAGGACUCUCAACUGAAGAAACUUGCGGAACAUCCUUGGCUGAGACUUUCCGUAGUCUGCCCAUUGAGAUACUAGCUGAAAAACAAGAGAGAAAAUGGGCUCAGAGAGACUCUAAGUGCAAAACUGUGUAAAUUUACAGUAAUAAUCUAAGAGAAAUUUACACUGUCAGAGAACAAACUGCACAGUAAUUAUGAAAAAAUUACACUGUAAAAAGGCUACGGGUUGCAGUGUAGAACGUCAUCGGAUCAGUGUAAAGUACAUAAAUUAUGGGUACAAUUACACUGUAAAAAAAGCAUCAGGUUGCCCUUUUUACACUGUAACUACAUUGUACAAUUACCCAUAAUUAUACUGUAACUAUUAAAAUACAAAGUACAAAGUAAUUACACUGUACAAUUACCCAUAAUUACACUGUAAUUAUGGGUACAUAAAUUACACUGUAACUAUAAAAAUACAAAGUACAAAGUAAUUACGGGUAAAAUUACACUGUAAAAGGGCAACGGGUUACUGUGUAAAACGCCAUCGGAUUAAUUAUGGGUACAAUUACACUGUAAAAGGGCAUAGGAUUGGAGUGUAAAAACGGUGCAACUUACACGGUAAUUAUGCAUACAAAUUAUACCAGAAAAUGGACAUUCCAAAUUGCAGUGAAAUUACAGUACAAACUACACAGUAAUUAUGGGUAAAAUAACGCUGUAAAAAAAUCAUCAGGUUACAGUGCAACUACAGAGUAACUAUGCGGUAGUUAACGGUAAAGUUACACACCGUGAUAACGCAUCAGACUACACUAUAACACAGAGACAAUCUAUGCAGUAAUUAUACUCAUCGGAUUACAUUGAAAAAUCAAGACAAAAUACACAGGAAAAUAAACUGUAAUUAAGAGAAAAUUACACUCCAACAUGCAUACAUGGGAUUACAGUAUAAUUAAGAGAAAAUUACAUGAACAAAUACAAUGUAAGUAUACACGGGAUUACAAUGUAGAAAAUACAUUACAAUAUACACAGGAGAUAAGAUGAACAAAACACCUUGGCACCUUCAGAAAAAAAGGAUGGGAAUGUGACCAAAAGGAUAGAAAGUGACAAAAUUAAGGGAAAACAGGCAUAACUAAAGAACAAGUUAGCCACACGGAAAAUUAGGAGGGCAAGUUUCACAGUACUUUACUGCAAGACACAAAAUGGGAAAUAGGGCAAAAAUAGGGGGUACAAAUAUAACUACAGCACAGCUACAUAGGGCAUAUAAGAUAGCAGUGAAGCUCUACAUUACAAGUUGCACUGAACAUAUAGCGCAACUAACAGAGUUAAAAAUUGAACAUCGGAACUCAUGCACAUACCUCUGCAAGACCUUGGUCUAACACCCAUGAAAUUCAAGAGGGUACACAAAACCUUGGUCUAACAAGCUGCAGAGAAGUCCAUUAACCACCAGAAUGAACAACAUCGUGGGACAAAACGUAAACAAACAUGAAGAAAUUCAGGGACUAUAACCACACCUCCACCUUCAGAGACAAGUUACGGGAUCCACAACUGGGAACUAAAGCCUACUAAGCUACCUCCACAUCGACAGCAGCAGAACUUAUUCUCUACACCUACCUACAAAUCAACAACGAGAACGCAAUCGGCCCGGAAUUUGGUCUGCGCCCCACAACAAUAACAGAAGACUACACAAGGCGCACUGCAGGCUCCUCCCAAAACUCACACGAACAACCAUGGCACCAUGGCGGACUAGAACACCACGACAUCGACAUGCACAUCCCGCGGACCACAAAAAUCACAUGCCGCGGAUCCAUGAAGCCAAAAAAUCACCAGAUCUGGAACUACACGGCCACAAAAAAGCAUGGGCAAAGCGCGAGAGACAAGGAAAAGGAAUCAGAGCAGCCCGCGGACGAGGAGAAGAAGAGGGAGAAAUCAGUAUCCUAUGGUGGAUGAGCUCGAAAUCGCCAUGAACGCAAGCAAUCGCCUCCCCCUCUUCCUCUGCUCGACAUCUCUCUCUCUGCCUUAUCCAAAUGCGAAGGGAUGAGAAAGGGGAACGACCAGACAGGUAGACACCCCGCUCCCAAAUUCAAAAAAGACAAAAAACCAACAAUGCCCGGCCGGGACGGGGCGGGCCGAGGAAAACGGGCGGAAGAAGAAAACCGCGCCCGAUAACAAAAACCAACACAAAAAACAGCAGACCGAGCGUGAAUCUCAGAGCAAAGAUCGAACAGACAGAGAUUUGAUUGACAACGAAUUGAAAAACAGUCG